rnacentral:rRNA from 1 species
UACGUAGGGGGCAAGCGUUGUUCGGAUUUACUGGGCGUAAAGGGCGCGUAGGCGGUCAGCACAAGUCAGUUGUGAAAUCUCCGGGCUUAACUCGGAAAGGUCAACUGAUACUGUGCGACUAGAGUGCGGAAGGGGCAACUGGAAUUCUCGGUGUAGCGGUGAAAUGCGUAGAUAUCGAGAGGAACACCUGCGGCGAAGGCGGGUAGCUGGGCCGACACUGACGCUGAUGCGCGAAAGCCAGGGGAGCGAACGGG